AGUGAACGCUGGCGGUAGGCCUAACACAUGCAAGUCGAACGGCAGCACAGUAAGAGCUUGCUCUUACGGGUGGCGAGUGGCGGACGGGUGAGGAAUACAUCGGCAUCUACUUUUUCGUGGGGGAUAACGUAGGGAAACUUACGCUACUACCGCAUACGACCUACGGGUGAGAGCAGGGGAUCUUCGGACCUUGCGCGAUUGAAUGAGCCGAUGUCGGAUUAGCUAGUUGGCGGGGUAAAGGCCCACCAUGGCGACGAUCCGUAGCUGGUCUGAGAGGAUGAUCAGCCACACUGGAACUGAGACACGGUCCAGACUCCUACGGGAGGCAGCAGUGGGGAAUAUUGGACAAUGGGCGCAAGCCUGAUCCAGCCAUACCGCGUGGGUGAAGAAGGCCUUCGGGUUGUAAAGCCCUUUUGUUGGGAAAGAAAAGCAGCAGGUUAAUACCCCGCUGUUCUGACGGUACCCAAAGAAUAAGCACCGGCUAACUUCGU
rnacentral:rRNA from 1 species